rnacentral:rRNA from 1 species
CUCCUACGGGAGGCAGCAGUGGGGAAUAUUGGGCAAUGGGCGAAAGCCUGACCCAGCAACACCGCGUGGAGGAAGACACCCUUAGGGGCGUAAACUCCUUUUAUAGCCGAUGAUAGUGACAGUAGGCUAUGAAUAAGCACCGGCAAACUCCGUGCCAGCAGCCGCGGUAAUA